rnacentral:rRNA from 1 species
CCUCCACCGCUCCUUCACCCCACGCUCGCGCGCCCGACCAGACGAGGCGUCUGGUGCCCCGCGCGAUUCUCCUUGCCUCGCUGCUUCUCUUCCUCCUCCUUCCCUUUCCUCGCUGCUUCUCCCACGCCCCUGCCGCUGUUCAUCUCUCUGCUCCUCCUCCUCUACUUCCCCUAACGCUGCUGCUGCUGCUCUUCUUCUCAACCCCACGCUGCUGCUCCAUCUCUUCCACUUCCUCCACUUCCCUCCUUCUCUGAACUCGAAGCUUCUAGCUGCUGCUUCUUCCUUGGCCCCCUGCUCUGCUCCUAAUCUGAACCAUAAAUUGCUGCUACUCCCCUUCAUUCUCUAAAUUUCUGUAGACUUGAGAUCAUAUGUAAUAUUCAUAUUUGGCUAGUGCUUGAAACUUGCUAUUGGUUCAGAUUUGUAACU